rnacentral:tRNA from 2 species
GGCACCAUAGCCAAACGGCCAAGGCAUGAGUCUGCAAAACUUUGAUUACGGGUUCGAAUCCCGUUGGUGCCUCCA